UCCUGGGUUGUUUAAUGGUAAAACGCCGUGCUGUUAACACGGACGAUGUAGGUUCGAGUCCUACCCCAGGAG
rnacentral:tRNA from 1 species